rnacentral:tmRNA from 1 species
UACGGAUUCGACAGGGGUAGUUCGAGCUUAGGUUGCGAGUCGGAGGGAUCGGCUCCGUCAUCAACGUCAACGCCAAUAAUAACUGGCAAAACUAACAACAACCUCGCUUUUGCUGCCUAAUAAGGCCUAAAGCGGAUCCUCCCUCCAUCGCCCAUGUGGUAGGGUAAGGGUCUCACUUUUAGUGGGCUACGCCGGAUUCCACCGUCUGAGGAUGAAGGAAGAGACUAACCAGACUAGCUGUCCGGACGCCUGUCGGGAGGCAUAAGGUACAGCGAAACACUAAUAUGCCGACUACACUCGUAGAUGCUUAAGUGCCGUUAUUUCUGGACGUGGGUUCGAUUA